UCAGAUUGAUUCAGUUUCUCUCCGCCUGAAAUUAUAUACUCUGGCUCAGAUUGAUUCAGUUUCUCUCCUCCUGAAGGUAUCUUCUCUUGUUCAGAUUGAUUCCGUUUCUCUCCACCUAAAGGUAUAUUCUCUUGCUCGGAUUGAUUCCGUUUCUCUCCGCCUGAAGUUAUGUACUCUGGCUCGGAUUGAUUCCGUUUCUCUCCGCCUGAAGUUAUAUCCUCUUGUUCAGAUUGAUUCAGUUCCUCUCUGUCUGAGGGUAUGUGUUCUUGCACAUAUAGAUUCAGUUUCUCUCCGCCUGAAGUUAUGUACUCUGGCUCGGAUUGAUUCAGUUUCUCUCCACCUGAAGGUAUAUACUCUGACUCGGAUUGAUUCAUUUUCUCUCCGUCUGUUGGUAUGUGUUCUUGUGCAUUUACGUUCUGUUUCUCUCCGCCUGAAGUUAUGUACUCUGGCUCGGAUUGAUUCAGUUUUUCUCCACCUAAAGGUAUAUGUUCUUGUUCAGAUUGAUUCAUUUUCUCUCCGCCUGAAAUUAUAUACUCUGGCUCGAAUUGAUUCAGUUUCUGUCCACCUAAAGGUAUAUUUUCUUGCUCGGAUUGAUUCAGUUUCUCUCCGCCUGAAGUUAUGUACUCUGGCUCGAAUUGAUUCAGUUUCUGUCCACCUAAAGGUAUAUUCUCUUGUUCAGACUGAUUCAGUUUCUGUCCACCUAAAGGUAUAUUCUCUUGUUCAGAUUGAUUCAGUUCCUCUCUGUCUGAGGGUAUGUGUUCUUGCACAUAUAGAUUCAGUUUCUCUCCGCCUGAAGUUAUGUACUCUGGCUCGAAUUGAUUCAGUUUCUGUCCACCUAAAGGUAUAUUCUCUUGUUCAGAUUGAUUCAGUUUCUCUCCGCCUGAAAUUAUAUACUCUGGCUCGAAUUGAUUCAGUUUCUGUCCACCUAAAGGUAUAUUUUCUUGCUCGGAUUGAUUCAUUUUCUCUCUGUCUGAGGGUAUAUGUUCUUGCUCACAUAUAUCCAGUGUCUCGCCGCCUGAAGUUAUAUCCUCUUGUUCAGAUUGAUUCAGUUUCUCUCCGCCUGAAAUUAUAUACUCUGGCUCAGAUUGAUUCAGUUUCUCUCCUCCUGAAGGUAUCUUCUCUUGUUCAGAUUGAUUCCGUUUCUCUCCACCUAAAGGUAUAUUCUCUUGCUCGGAUUGAUUCCGUUUCUCUCCGCCUGAAGUUAUGUACUCUGGCUCGGAUUGAUUCAGUUUCUCUCCGUCUGUUGGUAUGUUUUCUUGUGCAUUUACGUUCUGUUUCUCUCCGCCUGAAGGUAUAUGCUCUUGCUCAUAUUGAUUCAGUUUCUCUCCGCCUGAAGGUAUCUUCUCUUGUUCAGAUUGAUUCAUUUUCUCUCCAUCUGAGGGUAUGUUUUCUUGCACAUAUAGAUUCAGUUUCUCUCUGCCUGAGGGUAUAUACUCUUGUUCAGAUUGAUUCAGAUUCUCUCCAUCUGUGGGUAUGUGUUCUUGUGCAUUUAGAUUCAGUUUCUCUCCUCCUGAAGGUAUAUACUCUUGUUCAGAUUGAUUCAGUCUCUCUGAGUGUAUAUACUCUUGCUCAGGUUGAUUCAGUCUCUCUGAGUGUAUAUACUUUUGCUCAGUUUGAUUCAGUCUCUCUGAGUGUAUCUGCUCUACCUCCUCACUGUAUAAUAUGUCUUGUGUCUGGGAAAGUUCAGUGUGAGACUCAAUUUGAAGACUCAGUACUGACUCGCUCUCAAUCAUCUGCCCAGUAAAGUGUUCACUGUAACUGGAUAUAGAUAAAUUCUCUAGCUCUUGCUCCACCAAUCUAUCAAUUCUUUCUUCAUUAUAGUCCUCAUCAGAGCACACCAUGGAGUACUCUCCAGGUUCUGUAAGUUCCUCAUAGGAUUGCUCCUCUUCUGCCUCCUGAAUCAACUGAUCUACAGCAUUCUCCUCAUCGUUCUCCUGUGUAGCAUGCUCCUUUGUUUGGCUAGCAUCCACGUCGCCUUGGUGAGUGGAGCCCAUGUGACGUUCCUGAUCUAUGACAUCUCCUUCUGACUCUUCAUACAGAUCCUCCAUGGUGUCAAACUGUUUGGACUUGCCUUCGCCCCAGGUGUCUGUUCCUGUCUGGCAAACCUCCCUGUCCUCUUCACCAUCACUGGAGUCGCUCUCGCCCAUGUGUGAAGCCAGAGUGUUGACAUCCGUCUCGUCACUCUUGUAACGGAUCAAGGGGUGUGUGUCGGCUAGUGUGUUGUCCUGAGCAUAGCUGUCGCCUUCUAGCUCAGCCCUCCAUGAAACAGAAUUAUUUUGACAGUAGUUUGCCUCAUCAUGAUCCUCUUUGUCAUUGUCGGAUAUAUUCAGUUUAUCUCCGCCUGAAGUUAUGUACUCUGGCUCGGAUUGAUUCAGUUUCUCUCCACCUGAAGGUAUAUACUCUGACUCGGAUUGAUUCAUUUUCUCUCCGUCUGUUGUUAUGUGUUCUUGUGCAUUUACGUUCUGUUUCUCUCCGCCUGAAGUUAUGUACUCUGGCUCGGAUUGAUUCAGUUUCUCUCCGCCUGAAGGUAUAUGUUCUUGCUCAGAUUGAUUCAGUUUCUCUCCGUUUGAAUUGAUAUACCUUUGCUCAGACUGAUUCAGUUUCUCUCUGCCUGAAGGUAUUUGCUCUUGCUCGAAUAGAUUUUGUUUCUCUUCAUUUGAAGGUAUAUACUCUUGAUCAGACCGAUUGGGUUGGGCUUCUCUGUUAUUCCACAUCUCUUCCUCUUUCACAUGAUACUUUGCUUCUUUCCAAUCAUCCAUUCUUUCUCCAAUUCCAUUCUCUUCAUUGUACCCUGCCACUCGAUCCCAUUCAUCCUUUACAUCCCCAUUGGGGUUCAGUGCAUGUUGUUCCUCACGUUUGUUAGACAUAUCAUUUUCAUCAUCCACUUUUGUGAAAUUUAUGUCACCUUCCUCCACUCUUUCAACAUGGUGAAAUACCUCUUCUGACCAGUGAGAAGCUUGAGCAGAUUCAUAUGAGAUAAUCUCCUCUUGGUUGAACUUAUCGAUUCUUUCUGUCAUGUCAUUUUCCUUAAUGAAUCCUCCCAAUCUUUCACAAUCAUCGUUACCAUACCCAUAGGGGUGCAAUUCAUCUUCCAAUUGCUCCUCAUGUUUGUUAGACAUAUCAUUUUCAUCCUCUUUUGGGAGAUGAAUAACAUCUUCCUCCAGUCUUUUAACAUGGCGAAAUGCCUCUUCUGAACCGUGGGAGGCUUGAGUGGAUUCAUAUGACAUAUUGUCCUCUUGGUUGAACUCUAUUGGCUUGUUGUAACUUUUCCCCGCCCCAUACUCAAAAGCUUGACUGCUUGUGAAGGUUUCAAAUGCUUGCUCUAGCACUGAUGCAGUUUCAGAUUCCAAGCCUUCGUUUCUCGCCCAUUCAGCAUCUUUCUUUGCUGUUUCAAGCUCUCUUUCCUCCGAUGCAUUCAUGGGACCGUAAGGCAUAUCUAGUAGAGGUUCCUCUUUUUCAAAAUACAUUUCAAAAGGUACAUCAUUAUCAUCAUUCGCUGAGAAAGCAGAAUGUGCCCCUGUCACCGAACCUGCUCUCUCAUAGCUCACUGAAGGGCUGUAGAGCUCUUGAGCAUCAGUGCUGAACACAGUUGGCAUACUGAAGCUGGUCUCGACCCGGUGACUCAUGGCAGAUUCCAGAACGGGUUUCUCUUCAGCAAACCAGGUUCUGACUAUGUUCUGAUCCUCUUCCUCCUUUUCCAUAUCCCACAUGGAUUGUUCCUUGUGGUCAGAUCCAAGCAAAGAUACAACAUCAGCUCCUGCCUCUUCAGUGGGAGGUGAGAGAGGCUCAGCAUAGUUGACUUCUAUAUGGACAUCUUGGGGUCUGAAGUGGUGGACUGAAAUUCCGUCCUGUGGUACUUUGAGGUAAGGCGUUGAACAACUUACCUGGUGGUUGGACCCUACGCCAAAGUCGAUAUGCUCUUCUGUCUUUCGACAACUCUCAGGUGUUUCAUUCAGGGUUACCCGAUUUUGAGUCCAGAUUGGUGAUGCGGACAUCAUUGUCACAUUGGAUCGUGGACUUGCUCUAUGGAUGGUAGAGAUGGGCCUGAUCAUGUGACUGGUAGCCAGCUGUGUCUGGAAGCUUUGCUUAACCCCUCGGGAGCUGGGCACUCCAACUGUGA
ensembl:lncRNA